rnacentral:rRNA from 1 species
CCUACGGGAGGCAGCAGUGGGGAAUAUUGCACAAUGGGCGCAAGCCUGAUGCAGCCAUGCCGCGUGUGUGAAGAAGGCCUUCGGGUUGUAAAGCACUUUCAGCGGGGAGGAAGGCGGUGAGGUUAAUAACCUCAUCGAUUGACGUUACCCGCAGAAGAAGCACCGGCUAACGCCGUGCCAGCAGCCGCGGUAAUACGGAGGGUGCAAGCGUUAAUCGGAAUUACUGGGCGUAAAGCGCACGCAGGCGGUCUGUCAAGUCGGAUGUGAAAUCCCCGGGCUCAACCUGGGAACUGCAUUCGAAACUGGCGGGCUAGAGUCUUGUAGAGGGGGGUAGAAUUCCAGGUGUAGCGGUGAAAUGCGUAGAGAUCUGGAGGAAUACCGGUGGCGAAGGCGGCCCCCUGGACAAAGACUGACGCUCAGGUGCGAAAGCGUGGGGAGCAAACAGGAUUAGAUACCCGGGUAGUC